CAGGGAAUCGUGCGCAAUGGACGAAAGUCUGACGCCGCAAUGCCGCGUGGAGGAUGAAGGCCCUAGGGUCGUAAACUCCUUUUGCCAUGGGGGAGAUACCAUGGAGAAUAAGUGACUGCUAACUCUGUGCCAGCAGCCGCGGUAAUACAGAGGUCACAAGCGUUAUCCGGAUUUAUUGGGCGUAAAGCGUUUCGUAGGUGGGUUAGUAAGUUACCCUUCAAAGACCACGGCUCAACCGGGGGAAGGGGGGUAAUACUACUAGUCUUGAAAUAUGAUGGGGCAUCUGGAACUGAUGGUGUAGUAGUGAAAUACGUUGAUAUCAUCAGGAACUCCAAGGGCGAAGGCAGGAUGCUAAUCAUUUUUUGACACUGAGGAACGACAGCUAGGGGAGCGAAAGGGA
rnacentral:rRNA from 1 species